AGAGUUUGAUCCUGGCUCAGAGCGAACGCUGGCGGCGUGCUUAACACAUGCAAGUCGAGUGCGCGGUAGCAAUACUGGCGCACGGGGCACGGGUGCGUAACACGUGGGCAACCUGCCCUCCAAAGGGGGAUAACCCGCCGAAAGGCGGGCUAAUACCGCAUGAUAUUCCGGUGGCUUCGGCUGCUGGAUUCAAAGGCCGCAAGGCCGUUGGGGGAUGGGCCCGCGCCCGAUUAGCUUGUUGGCGAGGUAACGGCUCACCAAGGCUAUGAUCGGUAGCUGGUCUGAGAGGAUGAUCAGCCACACUGGAACUGAGACACGGUCCAGACUCCUACGGGAGGCAGCAGUGGGGAAUCUUGCGCAAUGGGCGAAAGCCUGACGCAGCGACGCCGCGUGGGGGAUGAAGCUUCUCGGAGUGUAAACCCCUUUCGACCCGGACGAAUGUCCCGCAAGGGAUUGACGGUACGGGUAUAAGAAGCCCCGGCUAACUACGUGCCAGCAGCCGCGGUAAGACGUAGGGGGCCAGCGUUGCUCGGAAUUACUGGGCGUAAAGGGUUCGUAGGCGGUGCGGCAAGUCGGGAGUGAAAUCUCUGGGCUUAACUCAGAGGCUGCUUCCGAAACUGCCGUGCUUGAGUGCGGGAGAGGCCAGUGGAAUUGCAGGUGUAGCGGUGAAAUGCGUAGAUAUCUGCAGGAACACCCGUGGCGAAGGCGGCUGGCUGGACCGCAACUGACGCUGAGGAACGAAAGCUAGGGGAGCAAACAGGAUUAGAUACCCUGGUAGUCCUAGCCCUAAACCAUCAGGACUUGGGGUGCAUCCCGUUGGGGGUGCGUCCCGUAGCUAACGCGUUAAGUCCUGCGCCUGGGGAGUACGGUCGCAAGGCUGAAACUCAAGGAAUUGACGGGGGCCCGCACAAGCGGUGGAACAUGUGGUUCAAUUCGACGCAACGCGAAGAACCUUACCUGGGCUUGAACUGCUACUGACCAGCGGUGGGAACAUCGCC
rnacentral:rRNA from 1 species